UCCUCGGCUCGGACGCCGCUCUAGCCGAUAAAAAAAAGAGAUACGAACACCGUAGCUCGCCGACGGCUAGUUGGCGGUCGCCGGCGGCGAUCCGGUGCCGCUGGCGCUAGUAGAGGGGACGCCGCUGCGCGUGCGUGAAUGGACGGAAGCAGGCUGCCGGAUCCCUCCCGCCGCUGGCACCAGCCAGUCUCAGCUCGAGAUUUUGUUCGGUGAUGCAGCUAUGGGGAUGUCGUGGUCUUCUAUCUGAUUGCUUUGCCUAGUCGCCGGUCGCCACACAUUGGGGAUUGGGGUAGUAUUGUACAGAGGGCAACUGGGAAUUAAACAUCAAAUGUUUUGCAACUCGUAGACAAACUACUACUAGUGUUACUUAUGCGCCUUUUGAAUUCAGUUUUUAUGCUGUUGAACACAACAAUUAAGCCAUAGGGCUGGAUAUACUGAAGACAAUAUGCUAUAGGUGAUUCUGAUGUA